UGAUUCCUACGGGAGGCAGCAGUAGGGAAUCUUCCGCAAUGGACGAAAGUCUGACGGAGCAACGCCGCGUGAGCGAAGAAGGUCUUCGGAUUGUAAAGCUCUGUUGUUAGGGAAGAACAAGUACCGCAGUAACUGGCGGUACCUUGACGGUACCUAACGAGAAAGCCACGGCUAACUACGUGCCAGCAGCCGCGGUAACUACGUAGGUGGCAAGCGUUGUCCGGAAUUAUUGGGCGUAAAGCGCGUGCAGGCGGUCCUUUAAGUCUGACUGUGAAAGCCCACGGCUCAACCGUGGAGGGUCAUUGGAAACUGGGGGACUUGAGUGCAGAAGAGGAGAGCGGAAUUCCACCGUGUAGCGGUGAAACUGCGUAGAGACUGUGGAGGAACACCAGUGGCGAAGGCGGCUUCUUCUGGUCUGUAACUGACGCUGAGGUCGCGAAAGUCGUGGGGAGCAAACAGGCAUUAGCAUACCCUGGUAGUCCACGCCGUAAACGCAUGAGUGCUAAGUGUUAGAGGGGUUCACCACCCCUUUAGUGCUGUAGCUACACGCAUUAAGCACUCCGCCUGGGGAGUCACGUCUCGCAAGAGUGACAACUCAUAAGGCAAUUGACGCAAUCCCGCGGC
rnacentral:rRNA from 1 species